GGGUCAGUAGGUUGGUCGUGCCACCGGUACGUACUGGUCUCACUGAUUCCUCCUUCCUGAAGAACCGUAAUGCCAUUAAUUUGGUGUUGCGGGGAAACAGGACUGUUAAUUUGAAAAAAUUAGAGUGUUUAAAGCAAGCUAACGCUUGAAUAAAUUAGCAUGGAAUAAUGAAAUAGGACGAUCGAUCCUAUUUUGUUGGUUUCUAGGAUUGACGUA
rnacentral:rRNA from 1 species